GAUAAGAACGCAGCAAAAUGCGAUACUUGGUGUGAAUUGCAGAAUCCCGUGAACCAUCGAGUUUUUGAACGCAAGUUGCGCCCGAAGCCUUUUGGCCGAGGGCACGUCUGCCUGGGCGUCACGCAUCGCGUCGCCCCCCACAAUUCUCCGUAAAGGGAACAUGUGUUUUGGGGGCGGAUAUUGGUCUCCCGUGCUCAUGGCGUGGUUGGCCGAAAUAGGAGUCCUUUCGAUGGACGCACGAACUAGUGGUGGUCGUAAAAACCCUCGUCUUUUGUUUCGUGCUGUUGCUCGCAAGGUAAACUCUUUAAAAACCCCAAUGUGUCGUCUCUUGACGACGCUUCGACCGCGACCCCAGGUCAGGCGGGACUACCCGCUGAGUUUAAGCAUAUCAAUAAGCGGAGGA
rnacentral:misc_RNA from 1 species